rnacentral:tRNA from 1 species
CCCUGGUGGUUCAAAUGGUAAAGAGCCUGCCUACAAUGCAGGAGACUGGGGUUCGAUCCCUCGGUCAGGAA